AAAAUAGAAUAAGUUUGACUUCGAAUCAAACAAAGACUGAAGUCCUAUUUUA
rnacentral:tRNA from 1 species